GACGAACGCUGGCGGCGUGCUUAACACAUGCAAGUCGAGCGGUAAGGCCCUUUCGGGGGUACACGAGCGGCGAACGGGUGAGUAACACGUGGGUGACCUGCCCUUAGCUCUGGGAUAAGCCUGGGAAACUGGGUCUAAUACCGGAUAUGACUCCAUGACGCAUGUUGUGGGGUGGAAAGCCUUGUGCGGCUAGGGAUGGGCCCGCGGCCUAUCAGCUUGUUGGUGGGGUGAUGGCCUACCAAGGCGACGACGGGUAGCCGGCCUGAGAGGGCGACCGGCCACACUGGGACUGAGACACGGCCCAGACUCCUACGGGA
rnacentral:rRNA from 1 species